rnacentral:tRNA from 1 species
GGGAAUAUGGCUUAGGGGUAGAGUGCUUGCCUAGCAUGCAUGAAACCCUGGGUUCGAUUCCUCAGUACCA